CCCCCCCCCCCCCCCCCCCUCCCCCGCGGCGGGAAACCGGAGAACGGCAGGAACGGCGGCCGGAAUCAGUUAACGGGGCGGGUCAGGGCGGUAAUUAUCGUGCGGGUGUUAAUUGGGGCUCGGCGGGUUAAUGCGUGACCGGCGGGCUGGGGUGUAUCUGGGGGUUUUGAUCGGAACUGGGGUUUUAAAGCCGCGGGUUUGGGGGGGGGGGGGGGCGAUUAAGGCUCCCGGAGCCGCUUUAGCGGCUUAAAUCGUUGUGUUGAACGCGGGAGGAGCCGGUUCGGGGCUUUUCUCAGCAAGCGGGGCUGGUUUGGGUCUAAUUCGGCUUUUAAAAGAUGUUUUUACGUAAUUUUUGGGUGCCGAUUUGUGCCAGAAGGCGCCUUUGAAACCUGUUUAUUGAGGGUUUAUCAGGAGAGUUAAAGUUUAAAGCUCGGGGAGAUUUGGGGCUUUUCCCCGGGAUUUUGAGUCCAAAUCGGUUUUUUUAGAGCCCUUAUUUAUUUAAAUUGUUAUGUUUAAAGGGUUUAUUUGAGGUUUUAUUUGGAACAUUUUGGGCGGGUUUGAGGCUCCUAAGAUUUAAUUGUUGGUUUAUUAUUUGAUUUAUUAUUUCACUGCGUUUUGGGGCUCCUGAAGACGCUGAGUUGUUUCAAUUAUUUAGUGCUGUGAGGAGCCGUUUUGGGGCCGUUGGGGUCUAAAUCGGCUUUUUGAAAGGUUUAUUUAACGCGUUUAAAGUUUGAGGGGCCGAUUUGCGACUUUAAAGCUUUUUGAAUCUACUUAUUGAUAAGAAUUUAUACAAUAGAUUAAUAUUUAAAGCCCGGGGGGAGAUUUGGGGCUGUUUCCCAGGAUUGCGAGUCCAAAUGCGUUUUUUUCUGUUAACCGCUUAUUAAUUUAAAUUAUUAUAUUUAAACGGGGCUUUUUGAGGUUUUAUGAGGGUUUUUUUUAGCAUUUUGGGCGGUUCUGAGGCUCCUAAAGCCGCUUAAUUGUUUAAAUUAUUAAUUGUUAAAAUAAUGUAAGUAGUUGUUGAAAUAAGUGUGUAAGUUAUUGUAUUUAAAGCCGGGAGGGGCAUUUCGUUGCUUUUUGGGGGGUUUUAGGGCUGAAUUCACUUCAUUGAACGUGUCUAGAGCUGGGGGUCCCAGAUCUGGUGCUGAUUUGGCCCCAAAAAAAGCUUUAAAAAUCUAUUUAUUUAUAUAAUUUACUGAAUUAAUAUUUAAGCGGGAACAUGUUCGGCUUUUUUAACCCGCCGCCAUUUUGUCUCCCCCGUCCCGCUCUCCCUCACGCUGAGGGGGCCGAGGAGACGCUCGCUGAUUGGCCGGUGCCAUCUGGCGGGAAAGCCUCCCCCGGCUCAGCCCCGCUCGGCUGUCUCCGAGGGAGAGAAAGGCGCUGAUUGGUCGCUGCCUCUGAGGAGAGAAAGGCGCUGAUUGGUCGCCGCCUCCCUAAACCCACCUCCUGCGCAGAGAACAGCGAAGGCAGCCUGGCCACGCCCCCUCCGGCUGACCGCGCCCCCCCCUCCGGCUGACCGCGCGUGCCCCCCCCCCCCUGCAACUCGGCUGACCGCGUGGCCCCCCCAACUCCAGCUGACUGUGUCCCCCUGCCCCCCGGCUGAUCCCGUGCCCCCCCACUGCACUCCUGCUGACUGUGCGCCCCCCCCACCUCCUCCGGCUGGCCACAUCUCCACUGCACACCAUGGCGGGGAAGGGGCGGGGGGGGGGAUCACAAGGGUCUAUGGGGCGGUGUGGGGGUCAGGGUGGCUGUGGGGUCAAUGGGGUUGUUGUGGGGUGAAACACCCCUGAAGAGGCUGAACACCCUGCAGGUGGGUGACCCACACAGUGCCCCACAGUGCCCCAUAGCACCUCCAUUCUGCCCUACGGAUCCACAACACUGCCCCACAGCACCCUAUAGCUCCUGCUUGCUAUCCCACAGCACCCCAUGGCUUCUCCACUCUGCCCCAUAUGUCUACAGCAGUGCCACAGAGUACCUCAUAUGUCUUCCACUCUGCCCCAUAGCACCCUAUAGCUCCUGUACUCUGCCCCACAGAUCCACAGUGCUGUCCCACAGCACCCUAUAGCUCAUCUGGCCUAUAGACCCACUGUACUGCCCUACAAUGCCCCAUGGCUCCUACACUCUGCCCCAUAGACCCACAACACUGCCUCACAACACCCCAUUGCUCCUGCACUCUGCCCCAUGGAUGCCCAGUACUGCCCCACAGCACCAUAUAGGUCCUGUACUCUGCCCCAUAUAUCCACAGGAGUGCCCUGCAGCACCCCAUGGCUCCUGCACUCUGCCCCAUGGAUGCCCAGUACUGCCCAACAGCACCAUAUAGGUCCUGUACUCUGCCCCAUACAUCCACAGGAGUGCCCCCCAGCACCCUAUGGCUCCUGCAUUCUGACCCAUGGUGGAUGCCCAGUACUGCCCCACAGCACCAUAUAGGUCCUGUACUCUGCCCCAUACAUCCACAGGAGUGCCCCCCAGCACCCUAUGGCUCCUGCAUUCUGACCCAUGGUGGAUGCCCAGUACUGCCCCACAGCACCAUAUAGGUCCUGUACUCUGCCCCAUACAUCCAGAGGAGUGCCCCCCAGCACCCCAUGGCUCCUGCACUCUGCCCCAUGGAUGCCCAGUACUGCCCCACAGCACCGUAUAGCUCCUCUACUCUGCCCCAUACAUCCACAGGAGUGCCCCCCAGCACCCCAUAGUGACUCUACUCUUCCCCAUAGACCCACAGUGCUGCCGCACAGGACUCUACUCUGCCCCUUAGACCCAGAGAGCUGCCCCACAGCAGCCUGUAGGUGCUGCGUUCUGCCCCAUUGGUGCAAAGUGCUGCCCCACUGCGCCCCACACCUCUGUCCACCUGACCACCCUUCCCUCCUGACUGCGCCUGCACUGCCCACUAUGGGUGGGUCACAAGGGUCUAUGGGGCGGUGUGGGGGUCAGGGGGGCUGUGGGGUCAAUGGGGUUGUGGUGUGAAACACCCCUGAAGAGGCUAAACCCCCUACAGGUGAGUGACCCACACAGUGACCCACAGCAGCCCAUAGCCCCUCUGCCCUAUAGAGUCACUGCACCCCAUAGCUGCUUUUACUCUGCACCAUAAAUGGACAGCAGUGCUCCACAGCACCCUAUAUCUCCACUGUGCCCCAUAGACACACAGUGCUGUCCCACAGCACCCCAUAUCUUGUUCACUCUGCCCUAUAGACCCACAGUGUAACCCUACAGCACCCCAUAGUUCCUCUGCCCUAUAGAUUAACAGCACUGUCCCAGAAAACACCAUAGCUUCUUCCCACUAGCCCAUAGGCCAGCAAUUCUGCCCUACAGCGCACUAGCUCCUGCACCCUAUCCCAUAGACCCACAGCAGUGGCCCACAGAUCCAGUCUGCCCUAUACAGCCACAGCACUGCUCUGCAGCACCAUAUACUUCCAGCACUCUGGCCCAUUGAUAUGUAGCACCCCACAGCUGCUGCAUUCUGCCCAUAGAUCGAGAUUCCUGGGUCCCCUCACCCCACCAGCUGUCCUGGGUUGCGAUGCUGCACGGGGCCCUGUGCACAACAAAAUGAGGACAGCAUGGCUGCUGGGCGCCACCCUGCUUGGAAUCCGAGAUGGCUGGGGGGGGAGGGCUGGCAGCCAUGCUGGCACUGCCGGAGGGGCUGUUGGUCUGCGCCGUGCUCAGGCGGCAGUUCCCGGCUGUAUCGGCUGCUCCUGUGGCCCUGCACCCCGCCCAUGGGAACAAGGUGGCUGCCCUGAUGGGCGUGGCCAUCUCGGCUGCUGUGUCCCUGCUGGUGGGCGGGGCCAUGGCUGUCAUGGCUGCCAAGCCUGUGCUGGAAGGGUGGGGCUGAGGUGGGCGGGGCCUGCCUAGGGCGGCCAUUCUGGGGUGGGGCCCAAGGUGGGUGGUGGGGCCUGUGACUCUGUUUGCCCCUGACGGCCAUCUUGGAAAAGGGCAGCGCUGUGCCGCUGCCAUCCUGACGUUGCUCCCCCAGGGCCAUGUUGGGGGAUUUUUAACCUGGUUUUGGGGCCAAUUCUCACCCAAUAAAAUUAAAUAAUGUAAAAAAACCUUAA